rnacentral:rRNA from 1 species
GACGAACGCUGGCGGCGUGCUUAACACAUGCAAGUCGAACGGUAAGGCUCCAGCUUGCUGGGGUACACGAGUGGCGAACGGGUGAGUAACACGUGGGUGACCUGCCCUGCACUUCGGGAUAAGCCUGGGAAACUGGGUCUAAUACCGGAUAGGACCGCACCGUGAGGGUGUGGUGGAAAGUUUUUUCGGUGUGGGAUGGGCCCGCGGCCUAUCAGCUUGUUGGUGGGGUAAUGGCCUACCAAGGCGGCGACGGGUAGCCGGCCUGAGAGGGUGGACGGCCACAUUGGGACUGAGACACGGCCCAGACUCCUACGGGAGGCAGCAGUGGGGAAUAUUGCACAAUGGGCGGAAGCCUGAUGCAGCGACGCCGCGUGGGGGAUGACGGCCUUCGGGUUGUAAACUCCUUUCACCAUCGACGAAGGGUUUCUGACGGUAGAUGGAGAAGAAGCACCGGCUAACUACGUGCCAGCAGCCGCGGUAAUACGUAGGGUGCGAGCGUUGUCCGGAAUUACUGGGCGUAAAGAGCUCGUAGGCGGUUUGUCGCGUCGUCUGUGAAAUUCCGGGGCUUAACUCCGGGCGUGCAGGCGAUACGGGCAUAACUUGAGUACUGUAGGGGAGACUGGAAUUCCUGGUGUAGCGGUGAAAUGCGCAGAUAUCAGGAGGAACACCGGUGGCGAAGGCGGGUCUCUGGGCAGUAACUGACGCUGAGGAGCGAAAGCAUGGGGAGCGAACAGGAUUAGAUACCCUGGUAGUCCAUGCCGUAAACGGUGGGCGCUAGGUGUGGGUUUCCUUCCACGGGAUCCGUGCCGUAGCUAACGCAUUAAGCGCCCCGCCUGGGGAGUACGGCCGCAAGGCUAAAACUCAAAGGAAUUGACGGGGGCCCGCACAAGCGGCGGAGCAUGUGGAUUAAUUCGAUGCAACGCGAAGAACCUUACCUGGGCUUGACAUAUACAGGAUCGCGCCAGAGAUGGUGUUUCCCUUGUGGCUUGUAUACAGGUGGUGCAUGGUUGUCGUCAGCUCGUGUCGUGAGAUGUUGGGUUAAGUCCCGCAACGAGCGCAACCCUUGUCUUAUGUUGCCAGCACGUUGUGGUGGGGACUCGUAAGAAACUGCCGGGGUUAACUCGGAGGAAGGUGGGGAUGACGUCAAAUCAUCAUGCCCCUUAUGUCCAGGGCUUCACACAUGCUACAAUGGUCGGUACAGUGGGUUGCCAGUCCGUGAGGGCGAGCUAAUCCCGCAAAGCCGGUCUCAGUUCGGAUCGGGGUCUGCAACUCGACCCCGUGAAGUCGGAGUCGCUAGUAAUCGCAGAUCAGCAACGCUGCGGGACACCAAAACCGGGCCU